GUGCUCGCUUCGGCAGCACAUAUACUAAAAAUUGGAACGAUACAGAGAAGAUUAUCAUGGCCCUGGCACAAGGAUGACAUGUUUUUAAAGUUUAUAUUUUUAAAAUUUUU
ensembl:snRNA U6 U6 spliceosomal RNA